UUACAAACAAGAUCAUUGGUAUUUGGUGGCUUUAAUAAAUGCACAUACUUCCAAGCCGGAUCUUUUCUAUUAUUGCCACUUUUAUCUUCAAUGGCAGUAGAAGAAGUUCCAAUGUCCAUCUUUUACAACCGAACAAGAAAUAUCAACUCCCUAUAUCAAUAGCAUAGCAAGUUUAGCAAAGCAAUUUAUCACUCACAUACAAGUCACAAUUCACAAACACCCACUCAAUUGUCAUUUCAAAUAAUAUUUGUAUUCAAGAAGUAAAAAUUAUAGUAAAUAAUUUUUGAAAUAUUCAAUAAAGAACAUUCAACAAACACCCAUUAAACUAUUUUAUUUAUUUAUGUUAUUACAGCAAAAAGCAUGUUAAUUAUCAAUAUGUUAAUAACUUAAUUAUCAAUAUAUUAUUCAUGUUGCAACUUGCAACCAACACCCAUUCACUGCUGCUGUGAUGUAUUUUAUAGUAAAUAAUUUAUUCAUUGUCAUUUUAUAUAUUUAUGUUAAUUUUCACUUGUCUUUUUGCUCUUUAUUAUAAUUUAAGAUAUAAGAAACUAAGGGUUAGUGGGUUGCAUGUGAGAGGCAAUCAACAAAUAGCCAAAUGUUGAACAGAGAAUUGAAAAAUAACUGCAAAAAGAAAGCAGACAAGCAACUGCUGUCAUCAACUAGCAACUUGUGUCAUCAAAAAGCACAAAGCAGCUGCUGGUGUCAUCAAAUAAAAAAAAUCAA
rnacentral:misc_RNA from 1 species